AGCGAACGCUGGCGGCAGGCCUAACACAUGCAAGUCGAGCGGCCGUAGCAAUACGGCAGCGGCAGACGGGAGAGUAACACGUGGGAACGUGCCCUUUGGUUCGGAAUAACGCAGGGAAACUUGCGCUAAUACCGGAUAAGCCCUUACGGGGAAAGAUUUAUCGCCAUUGGAGCGGCCCGCGUCUGAUUAGCUAGUUGGUGAGGUAAUGGCUCACCAAGGCGACGAUCAGUAGCUGGUCUGAGAGGAUGAUCAGCCUCACUGGGACUGAGACACGGCCCAGACUCCUACGGGAGGCAGCAGUGGGGAAUUGUUCGCAAUGGGCGCAAGCCUGACGACGCACCGCCGCGUGGAGGAUGAAGAUCUUCGGGUCGUAAACUCCUUUCGAUCGAGACGAACGGCCUCGGGAUGAACAAUCCUGGGGAGUGACGGUACCGAGAGAAGAAGCCCCGGCUAACUCCGUGCCAGCAGCCGCGGUAAUACGGGGGGGGCAAGCGUUGUUCGGAAUUACUGGGCGUAAAGGGCUCGUAGGCUGCCAACUAAGUCAGACGUGAAAUCCCUCGGCUUAACCGGGGAACUGCGUCUGAUACUGGAUGGCUUGAGUUUGGGAGAGGGAUGCGGAAUUCCAGGUGUAGCGGUGAAAUGCGUAGAUAUCUGGAGGAACACCGGUGGCGAAGGCGGCAUCCUGGACCAACACUGACGCUGAGGAGCGAAAGCCAGGGGAGCAAACGGGAUUAGAUACCCCGGUAGUCCUGGCCCUAAACGAUGAAUGCUUGGUGUGGCGGGUAUCGAUCCCUGCCGUGCCGAAGCUAACGCAUUAAGCAUUCCGCCUGGGGAGUACGGUCGCAAGGCUG
rnacentral:rRNA from 1 species